rnacentral:rRNA from 1 species
GACUGAGUGGCGGACGGGUGAGUAACGCGUGAGUAACCUGCCCUUCAGAGGGGGAUAGCGUUUGGAAACGAACGGUAAUACCGCAUAAUGUAUUUUGACCGCAUGAUCGAAAUACCAAAGAUUUAUCGCUGAAGGAUGGACUCGCGUCUGAUUAGGUAGUUGGUGGGGUAACGGCCUACCAAGCCGACGAUCAGUAGCCGGACUGAGAGGUUGAUCGGCCACAUUGGGACUGAGACACGGUCCAGACUCC